GUGACAAAUACAAUACAAAUAGAAUUACAAUAUAAAAGCUUUUAUCAUUUUGAUAGCACACGCAAAAUAUCCUCUUUCUUUGAACAAUAUUGUAAUAUUCGUGCGAUCAACACUGCAGUGCUUUAGUAUAGGUCAAAGGAUUUAAAUGCAGUCGAAACAAACGUAACGCUAUAAACGCUCGCGUUUCAUUCCCCUUUAGCGAACGAAAACUGCGUGUCACAAGUCUAAAGAUUCACAUUAAAGACUGAAUAAAUCAGCGACACAGGUUCUCGUCCCGAUUACGCGAGAUAACUCGUUUGUUCUUCGUUCGUUUCACUUUUUAGCGGAUUAGUAGUUAUUAAAAGAGCACGGAUCGUGUCGCACGAACCAGCGGACUCCCGGCUUUUACUCGUUAUACUAAUUACUUCACCGGAGCGAGUUACAGCAGUCGCUUUGAAUUAUCUCGUUGCACGAUAAAGGGUAAUAGUCGAGGGACGAAAAAGAGAAUGUGCUUGGCUAAAGCUGCUUGCGACGGUAAUGGGAUCGAUAUUUCUAACGACUACGCGAAUGAACAUUGAUUUAUCGUUAUCGAAUAUGGGUAGCAGUUAAAGUUUCGUCGGAUAAAAUACAGAAGAUUCAUCAAGAUAGCCUUGUGUGUACGUUUCAGCGAUAGAAUAAAAUCGCGAGAAAAGAAUAGUCAGACUUCUCAAUGUAACUGUUUUUUUUUUUUUUUUUUUUUUUCAUAAAAAAAGACUAUAAACACGAAUUAUAAGCAUUGCUGCACAAUUUGCUUCAUAAAAUAUUUGUUUUGCAAUUUCACAAUUAAAUGUUUCUUUCACUGGAACAAGAAGCAACGUGAUGACUGUUUCAAACAUCAUAAAUCACACGUUCGUAUAACGAGCGACGAUAUAUUCACUAAGCAAUAGGUCGAUGAAGUUAGGACGAUGAUUUGCGAUUUAUAUCUCGAGUGUACGUCUGUUUACGAUUACUGGUGAGCGGUCGAAGCUUGAAUCACCUGUCAUUUGCCAUCUCCUAUUAAUUAUGCUCGCUUAUAUACAGAAUAAUUGACGUACCAGAUGAUUAAGAUGAGGCCCUCUCCAUUGCCAGUAUAUUUGGCAAUACACUUUGGCAAUACAGGAAAUAUUACGUUAUUUGAAAAGGAUGGGAAAUGUUCGUUGUCACUAUUUUGCGCAUAUUCAGUAUAUGCGAAGUUGGAUACAUGUAGCAUGAUUGAUUAUGACUGCUUCAUAGCGCUACUCGGGAUCGACAUGCGACAAGCCGGUUACGGAUACAAUAACUAUAGGACGUAACUGCGCGCUACAAUGGAUAGAUAAUCUUACGUUGACGGAUCACGGACAAAUUCAGAGUUUAGCUCACGAGUAUAUUCUCACGUAUAUACAGAGACAAAGUAAACGACUAGAAAAAGUUUAAAAAGAUCACGCUAAUAUUAAAUCAAGAUUUGUUGUAAGUGUCAAAUACAUCGACAGUUUGUUGGCAAUUUUGAGUUUCAUUAAUAAUGUAUAUAUUUAAUAAAGUUAUAUAAUUUAAUAAUGUAACAAUCUUCAGAUUAAGUAAUCUAUGAGAAAACAAAUAUGAUAUUCCAAAAUUUUUACUUACAAUAGUUUAAAAUACUUUAAAAUACAAAACUAACAAAGAGAACGCUUAAAUUUACUCAAAAAAAUUUUUUAAAAUCGACAAGACAAAUAUUCGCUAUCGAAAUUUAGCACAAUCGUAAAUACCUUUUUUUUUUAUCGAAACAACAUGCGGAACAUGCGUAACAUCGAGAAACGUCAAAAUCAAAAUGUUUGGAACAUGUAUACCGACAACAGCUGACAUAUGGGAAGCGAUGUUACUACGUCUGAAUAAACCGUGACGAAAAUACGAGGCGAGAUUUGUUAGCCCGAUCCCACGAGAUAGUAAAAUAGAUGAAACAGAAUACCGCAGGAAGCAGGCAUUUAUAUGGGAAAUAUGGUUUUACGCUCCCACGAUGUUUCACGAGCAAAAUGAACGAAGACGUUAAAACCAUGAAUAAUAAGACGUCGGUAGAACGUCAGCAAUCUACUAUAUCACAUUAUGUAAUACAAGCAAAAAGAGAAAGGUACUCGAAUUAUUUAGUCAAUGGUUCUCUCGGGAUUACUAGUAUCUUACAAACAUAAAUCGAAAUUACGUUAACAGCGAAUUUUCGAUUAAAAAGCUUAUUUCUCAACUAUGCGUAUAUGCUCGUGUGGGCAUGCGAUAGUUAUAUUUUCGUACUUCAAGAAAAACUUAAGAAAUAUAUGAGUCGAUAUACCUAAGCACCACGUAUGUUUGUAUGUGAAAUGUAAGUUUGAAUAUUUUAUUGGCUGAAUCAAAAAUUGUGUAACUCACGUUAUAGAAAAUGUGACAACAACAUGAGAAACUUCAAAUUUGCAUCAAAUGUAUUCAUAAUAAAGAAAAGUUUAAAUAGAGAAACAGUUUCGUCGCUCUAAAAAUAACACUAAAGCGCGUAAAAUAGCGGCUGAUGCAUUUUCAAAUCUUGUUUCAUAUCCUUUCUAUAUAUUUAUCACGAGUACCCAGAGAUCAAUACGAUUCAUUUUUAGUAGACGUUCAUAAUUGAGAACAUUAUUUUCGGCACCAAUUUUACUUAUUAUUAUUUAAAUAAUUCAUCUUUAGUUUUAUUGUAAAAAUUGUGUUAUUAAUUUGCCAUUGUUCACAGGUAUACUUCACGAAAAAAACCAAGAUGCUCGAAUUAAACAAUUAUGAUUUUCUGUGUUAAUUCUCGUAUUUAAAUAAAUAUUUUUAAUAUCUUUAAA